GUGCUCACUUCAGCAGCACAUAUAAUAAAAUGGGAACAAAACAGAGGACAUUAGCACGGCCCCUACACAAGGAUGACUCGCAGAUUGGUGAAGUUUUCAAAAAAAAA
ensembl:snRNA U6 U6 spliceosomal RNA